CUACUACUCCCUCCGUCCGAAAAUACUUGUCAUUGAAAUGGAUGUGUCUAGAUGUAUUUUAGUUCUAGACACAUCCAUUUUGAUGACAAGUAAUUCUGGACGGAGGGGGUAUUAU
rfam:Triticum aestivum genome assembly, contig: Triticum_aestivum_CS42_TGACv1_scaffold_224001_3B